AUGGUGCGCCUGUCCAUCCCGCUGGGCGCCGAAGGGAUCAUCUUCGCGUCCUACGGCGACGACUGGCGCCAGCUCCGCAAGAUCUGCACCGUCGAGCUUCUCAGCGCCCGGCGCGUGCGCUCCUUCCGCCCCGUGCGCGAGGAGGAGGCCGGCCGGCUACUCCGUGCGGUGGCGCUGUCUGCAUCGCGGGGAACUGCGAACCUCAGCGAGCUGCUGUCGGUGUACACCGCCGACUCAUCAGUGCGCGCUGUCAUCGGGAGCAGAUUCAAGGAUCGGGGCGCGUUCCUGGCGUUGCUCCGGCGCGGGACCAAGCUAUUCGCCGGGAUGAGCUUGCCGGACCUCUAUCCGUCGUCGCGUGUGGCCAUGCUUCUCAGCCGGACGCCAGGCCGGAUGAGGCAGCACCGGCAGGAAUUGGCUGCGUUCAGGGACGCUAUUGUCCGGGAGCACCAGGAGGUCCGCCGGGCUGACGAGGAGGAGGAGGACCUCCUCGACGUGCUCCUGAGGAUCCAGCGGGAAGGCGACCUGCAGUUCCCCUUGUCUACCGACAACAUCAAGUCGGCCGUUGGCGACAUGUUCGCCGGGGGUAGCGAGACGGCGGCGACGACGCUGCAGUGGGCCAUGUCUGAGCUGGUUAGGAACCCGAGAACGAUGCUGACGGCACAAGACGAGGUCCGACUCGCGCUCGCCGGGCAGCCCAUGGUGUGA
rnacentral:rRNA from 1 species